rnacentral:rRNA from 2 species
AGGUUCUUCGGAACCUAGCGGCGGACGGGUGAGUAACACGUGGGUAACCUGCCUGUAAGACCGGGAUAACUUCGGGAAACCGAAGCUAAUACCGGAUAAUUUCGAGCAUCGCAUGAUGCUUGAUGGAAAGACGGCUUCGGCUGUCACUUACAGAUGGACCCGCGUCGCAUUAGCUAGUUGGUGAGGUAACGGCUCACCAAGGCGACGAUGCGUAGCCGACCUGAGAGGGUGAUCGGCCACACUGGGACUGAGACACGGCCCAGACUCCUACGGGAGGCAGCAGUAGGGAAUCUUCGGCAAUGGGCGAAAGCCUGACCGAGCAACGCCGCGUGAGCGAUGAAGGCCUUCGGGUCGUAAAGCUCUGUUGUUAAGGAAGAACAAGUACGAGAGUAACUGCUCGUACCUUGACGGUACUUAACGAGAAAGCCACGGCUAACUACGUGCCAGCAGCCGCGGUAAUACGUAGGUGGCGAGCGUUAUCCGGAAUUAUUGGGCGUAAAGCGCGCGCAGGCGGUUUCUUAAGUCUGAUGUGAAAGCCCACGGCUCAACCGUGGAGGGUCAUUGGAAACUGGGAAACUUGAGUGCAGAAGAGGAAAGCGGAAUUCCACGUGUAGCGGUGAAAUGCGUAGAGAUGUGGAGGAACACCAGUGGCGAAGGCGGCUUUCUGGUC